UCGGGGGAGGAUUUUAGGAUCUUUGCUUGCCUAGAUUUUCAAUCAUCUGCUUCUAUGGUUGGUUAUCUGAACCCUGUCAUUAUAUUAUAGUAAAUGCAAAUGCAUGAUCUUUGAUUUGUUGUUAUCAUUGCAUAUUGAGCUUAGUUGAAUGUGUAUUGAAAAUGUAUGCGCAUAUCUUGUUUUAUUUUGUGCUAAUUGGCCUUAUA
rnacentral:lncRNA from 1 species